rnacentral:rRNA from 1 species
CUACGGGAGGCAGCAGUGGGGAAUAUUGCACAAUGGGCGCAAGCCUGAUGCAGCAACGCCGCGUGAGGGAUGAAGGCCUUCGGGUUGUAAACCUCUUUUAGCAGGGAAGAAGCGAAAGCGACGGUACCUGCAGAAAAAGCACCGGCUAACUACGUGCCAGCAGCCGCGGUAAUACGUAGGGUGCAAGCGUUGUCCGGAAUUAUUGGGCGUAAAGAGCUCGUAGGCGGUUUGUCACGUCUGCUGUGAAAAUCCAAGGCUCAACCUUGGACUUGCAGUGGGUACGGGCAGGCUAGAGUGCGGUAGGGGAGAUGGGAAUUCCUGGUGUAGCGGUGGAAUGCGCAGAUAUCAGGAGGAACACCAAUGGCGAAGGCACAUCUCUGGGCCGUAACCGACGCUGAGGAGCGAAAGCGUGGGGAGCGAACAGGAUUAGAUACCCUUGUAGUC